rnacentral:rRNA from 1 species
CCUACGGGAGGCAGCAGUGGGGAAUAUUGCACAAUGGGGGAAACCCUGAUGCAGCGACGCCGCGUGAGCGAGGAAGUACCUCGGUAUGUAAAGCUCUGUCAGCAGGGAAGAAAAUGACAGUACCUGACCAAGAAGCCCCGGCUAACUACGUGCCAGCAGCCGCGGUAAUACGUAGGGGGCAAGCGUUAUCCGGAUUCACUGGGCGUAAAGGGAGCGUAGACGGCAUGGCAAGUCUGAUGUGAAAACCCGGGGCUCAACCCCGGGACUGCAUUGGAAACUGUCAGGCUAGAGUGUCGGAGAGGCAA